AAGUUUUUGAUCAAGGAUCGGAAUAAUCAUGAUAAAUAAUUUAAUGGUAUUAAGAUAUUUGAAUAUAGUUUUUGUUAUGUCUAGAUUUAGGAAAAAUCAAGAUCAAGUUUUUGAAUUUUACAGUGGAUAAUGAAGGGAGUUAAUUUCCUCACAUAAGAAGAUAUGUUUGACACUGCAACACAAAGUCAUGAAUGACACUUUACAAAAAGUGUCGCCAAUGCUAUUAUGUUUUAAAAAAUGCUUUUGGAGCUGAAAUAAAUCCUGGUAAAAAAUGUGACCAAUCUCAAUUGAACAAAAACUACUUGUUAAGCUCGUAUUGAAAAGAAAUACUGUAUCAAUCAAGAUGUGUUUAAAGAAGUAGUUAUAACAACAAUUUAAAAGCUUUCAAUUUGCGAGGACAGACGAUACAUGAUUAAAAAUUGUUUGAUAAGUUGUCCAAUAACAAUGUAAUUUUAAU
rnacentral:lncRNA from 1 species